rnacentral:lncRNA from 1 species
CCAUUGCCCUCUCUAUCUCAGGGCUUUGGCUGAAGCGGAGCAGCUACGAAGAGCAGCCGACCGUGCGCUUCCAGCACCAGGUGCUACUCGUGGCCCUGCUGGGACCCGAUCACGGCGGGUUCCUGGCCUGGAGCACGUUCCCCGCCUUCAACCGACUGCAGGGGGAUCACCUGCGCGUCCCGCUGGUUUCGGUAAGUGAUUCUCCCUCAGGCCUAGAGGCCCACCGGGACUGGGAGAGGGUGGCGGGGGCAGGGUGAGCGGGCCCGGCCUGGGGAAACCCAGCUUGGGUCUUAAGGGUCGUGAACCCACGAAAAUUGUGUACACAGGCACAUUGGCCUGUGUAUAUGUUUAAUUUCCCGGGAAGUGACUCUGUUGACUCAUUUGACUUCAAGCAGUCCGCAACCCCAAGAAAGUUAGCCACUGCUGUUAGCAUGUGUCCUACACAGAGACCCGAAGCCUGGGGAUAGCCUGUGUCUCGUCCCCGUCAUUUCCGUGGGCCUGGCCUGAUGGAUGAGUGGUCGCGAAAAUUCCUUUAUGAAUCACAAAGGCCGAAAGGUGUUCUUAUUAAUUACCCCACUGUGUCGCUGCAUUUGUGCAUCGCCCCAGAGCCCGCCAGGGCAUGCAUUUUUAAUGCAGACCUGACACGUGGAAGCCGAGGCGCUCAUUGGUCAAGCGACCUCCCCAGAAUGUGCGGGGCCCAGUCCCGCCUCCCUGGAUUUGUAAGGGUGACUGCUGCUCCAUUUUGCAGCUGUCCAGGAUGAAAAGGAAACAUUUUACUGUCUGUAAUUUAGUAUUUGGUUCAGGAUGAGUGUUUCCUCUACAUUCACCCCCUUUCUGCUCAUUUUCUGAAAACAUUUUCCUUUAGAAGUAUAAAAAUUCUAUUUUUUCUUCUUCCAAAGUUGAAUCUCUUUACCCCCCAAAAUUUUUAAAUCUGAUUGGACAUAUGAAUAACAACAAACAAAAUAUGAAUUCAGAUUGUUUUUUUCUGAUUACUUUAAAUUUUCAUAUUUUUUUCUGGUGGUAAACAUGCAUGCUCAUUGUAAAAUAUUAAAGAAUUACAAGUAUAUAUAAUGACAAAAUUAAAGGUACAUGUUAGGCAUAUGUAUACUUGUUAAUUAACCUUAUUCUUUUUAAAAUCUGCAUAGUAUUUCACAAUAUGGAAUAACUGUAAUGGAUUUAACAAUUCUCUCUUGGUGAAUGUUUGAUGUGCUUUUACUUUUUCACUGUUAGAAUACUGCAGUGAACAAGAUUUUGAGUAAAUCUUGCACCUUUAAACAUCAAAUUAUGAGGAAUUGGAAUACAAGCUGUUUGUUGAAAUUGUAUCAGUAAACAUAAAACUAACCAAGGAAAUAAUUACUAAAUCCAGUGAAAUAAAAAGUAAGGAAAAAGGAGAAAGGUAAAGGAUUUACUUAGUCAUAAUUAUGGGAACACUGAAUAUAGAUUGACUAACCAAAAUGAGAGUUAAACUCAGUUGAGGAGUGGAGGGCAGAAAACUAACCUUUCAUCUCUCCUUGUGGCAAGUCAAUAGAGAAUGCCCAACACUGAGAAAUACAGAAGUGCCUGUGCUAAUGUUAUUUAAAGACAUGGAGAUACAUUUCCACAUAAUCAGUAAAUGAGAUGAAAAUAUUUGCCAUGGGGCUGGAAGUCUGCUGCGUUUUGUAACAAACAUUGUUGAACAUCUUUGAUUCUUUAAAUGAUCAGGUAUUUUAAAUUAAUUUUAGAGGCAUCUGGGAGGCUCAGUCGGUUAGGCAUCAGACAUCGGCUCAGGUCAUGAUCUCACAGUUGGUGGGUUCGAGCCCCACAUCGGGCUCUCUGCUCUCAGCAUGGAGCCCGCUUUGGAUUCUCUGUCUGCCUCUAUCUCUGUCCCUUCCCCAUAUCUGUUUCCAAAUUGCAUUCUCCCUCUCUCAAAAAUAAAUAAUAAAAACAUAAAAAAAUUACCAGAUGGGAUUAAAAAAUUGAUUUUAAAACAUAGAACUGGAGUUGGAGACAAAUCUCCUUCAAUAACUCCUCACUAAUCAUUACAUGCCCAUUUUUAUUCUUACUGGAGAUGAUAAUGCCUGUGGAGAAGGGUGACUAUGGAUGAGAGGCUGUGUCAAGAUGUGCUUACUUUUCACUGUAUACCCACUGUAUUUCUCGUGUUCCACAUGCAUGUGAUUACUUCCCAAAAGUGGAAGCAAAAGCGUUUAUUCCAAACAAAAAAUUAACUUGCUCAUUUUACUUUAGAUUAGUAUUCCCUGUCUUUUAAGUUUUUGGUAGAAGAUUUUUUUCAUCACAUUUGUGUAUUCCUCUCUAUCAUACUCCCUGGUUACUUGAGUCUAAGAAUUAAUUAGGAAAACUUAAAAAUAAUCAUGAAAACAAGGAUACAACAUUAGGUUUUAUUCAUUUGUUCAUCCACCAACUGACUGGCUUCCCCAACUGACUGCUAGUUAGUGAGGCUCUUAUCUCUGUAACCGGAAACUACUCCCUCAAGAGCACUGCUCAUGUUCCCCCUGCUUCGCCAAUUUUUCAUCCACGAAACCAAGACAAUCUCUUAUUUUUAUGGUGCCCAGAACUAUUAAUCCUUUUUAAUACCAGGUAAUUUUACACUAUGUAACACAAAGCCAAAGCUCCUUUUUCCUAGUCUUUCUUUUCCCUCCAUUCCAGGCCAGUGUCUAUAAGUAAUCUAUGAGUAUAUCAUCUGUGUUCUUUCUCAGUAAAUGAUUUGCUUCGUUCUAGCUGAGCCCUUGGUUUGAGAAUAAUUUCCAAUCAUAAGAUAUAAAUCAACGAGCUAGAAGAUAUAGUGCAAGUACAGAUCUCAACAGCAACUCAACAAAUAAACUCAUUAGGAAUAAGCUCAACAAGAAAUGUACAAGAUCUAUGUAAAUAAAAAGACUGGUGAAUGACACAAAAGAGAUCAAAAGAAUGGUGAUUUCUGUCAUACUCUUGGAUAGGAAAAUUCAACAUCAUAAAGAUACCUCUUCUCCCUUGGUUAAUCUAUACUUUCAAUGCAUUUUCAAUGAAAACUUAACAGUUUGGAGGGAUAGACAGAAACUCUAGGACAAAGAGAAGGGUAAUACAAGGAGAAUAGCUCUAUCAGAUAAUAAACUAUACGUUAAGGUCAUAAUAAGUAAAGCAGUGUGGUUUGAAGAACUUGUAUAAAAAGUAUAGAAAAGGACUCAUAUAUCAUAAAGGUGGCAUUUUAAAUCAGUGACGAAAGCUGACUUACAUAAUAAAAUGGUGUAGGGACAACUGGGAAGCCAUAUGGAAAAAGUUAAAAUGGAGCCAGGGCUCAGACUCUACAGCAGAAUUAAAGUCCAGACAGAUAAAAAUUCAAUUUAAAAUGUGAAAAAAGGGGCACCUGGGUGGCUCAGUCGGUUAAGCCUCCAACUUCGGCUCAGGUCAUGAUCUCACGGUUCGUGAGUUGGAGCCCCGCGUCAGGCUCUGUGCUGACAGCUCAGAGCCUGGAGCCUGCUUCAGAGUCGGUGUCUCCCCUCCCUUGGCCCCUCCUCCACUCAUAUUCUGUCUUUCUCUGUCAAAAAUAAACAUGAAAACAAAUUUUAAUGAAAUAAUAAAAGUAAUGAAACAAAUGGUGGGCGAAAGCUUUUAUAUCUUGGAAUAGGAAAGGUUAUUCGAAGUGUGACAUUAAAUCUAGAAGCCAUAAAAGAAACUUUUGGGUAAAUUCAACUCUAUAAAAAUAAAAAUAAUUUUUUAAAACUAUUGGCAUGGUAAAACCAUAAGCACAGUCAAAACACAAAUGACAACUAGGAAAAAGUUUUAUUAUUUGUAUCACUUGUAAAAAGCUCCUUUCCCUAACAUAAAGUGCCUACAGAUCUAUAAUUAAAAGACCAAGCACCCACUAGAAAAACAAAGAAAGAAUGUAAACAGUUCAGAGAAAAGGAAACACAUCUGACUCUUAAAUAUAUGAAAUCACACGCACGAUUAGAGAAAUGCAAAGAAUAUAUUGAGAUGCCAUUUUUUAAUCUAUCAAAUAGGCAAAAAUUGAAGUGUGACAACACCGUGGUCAAGACGUAGGGAAGUGUGUGAGCACUUUCGUAUGCCACUGAUGGGAGUGUAGAUUGGAACAACCUCUUUGAAGGAAUACAUGUCCUUACUUAUCAAAAUUACAGAUGUACAGGCCUGUUUCAAGCCUGCUUCCAUUUCCAGCGAGGUACCCUAGGUUUGUGCACACAUGUGAAACGAGUUAUAUAAAAAGUUGCUUAUUGCAGCAUUGUUUGUAAUUAGGUAAACAACCCAUGUAGUAAUAGAAGACUCAGCAAAGAAAUUGUGGUACAUCUGCCCAGUGGAAUGUUGCAUAGCUUUUUUUUUUUUUUUUUAAGUUUAUUUAGUUUGAGAGAGAGUUCCUGUGCAAGUGGGGGAAGGGCAGAGAGAGAAUCCCAAGCAAGCUCCAUCCUGGGCUCAACCUCAAGAAUCAUGAGAUCUUGACCUGAGCCAAAAUCAAGAGUCCUAGGCUUAACUAACUGAGCCCAGGUGCCCGGCAUAGCUAUUUUUUUAAGUUAUUAUUUUUUUAAUUUUUUAAAAAUAUUUGUUUAUUUUUGAGAGAGAGAGAGAGACAGAGUGUGAGCAGGGGGAGGGACAGAGACAGGGGAAGAUACAGAAUCUGAAGCAAGCUCCAGGCUCUGAGCUGUCAGCACAGAGCCCAACGCAGGGCUCGAACUCAUAAACCGUGAGAUCAUGACCUGAGCCAAAGUCGGAUGCUCAACCAACUGAGCCACCCAGGCGCCCCUAAGUUGUUUAUUAUUAUUAUUAUUAUUAUUAUUAUUAUUAUUAUUAGAGAGAGAGAGAGUGUGCAUGCAUGCACACACACAAGUUGGGGAGGGACAGAGAAAGAGGAAGAAAGAAUCCCAAGCAGGCUACACUCUAAAGCAGGUUUGACACGGGGCUCGAGCCCACAAACUGUGAGAUCAUGACCUGAGUUGACAUCAAGAGUCGGACGCUCAACGAACUGAGCCACCCAGGCACCCCUAGCUAUUCUUUUAAUGAAGUGGAUCUCUGUAUAUUGAAUUGCCUCCAAAAGAAAUUGGUAAGUACAAAAACCAAAAAUUAUAUAUUGUAAGCUUCCAUUCAUAUAAAAAUAAUAGAAAAAAUAGCAACAUGUGUGUGUGGUUGUAUACACAUAUACACACAUGCAUGUUCUUUCUCUGGAAAGAUUCAAAAGACACAACAUUGAUUGCUCUGGGGAAGGAAUUAAGUAGCUAAGGUUAGGAUGGGAGAGAAACUUUUUCACUAUAUAUUCUUUUGCUGUAUACCCUUUUACCUUUUAAAUUUUGUAUGGUAAGAGUGUAAUACAUAUUCCAGAUAUUUAGACUAUAACAACAACAAUUUUUAAAGGAAAAAAUUUAGAAAGUGCCCAAGUAAGGCAAAAACAAACCAAAAACAAUAACAGCUGCUAAGUAUAUAAAGUGACACAGCCGCUUUGGAAAAUAGUUUGCAGUUCCUCAAAAAGUUAAACUAGAAUUACUGUAUUUUCUAGCACCUCCAUGCCUAGGUAUAUGUGUACCCAAGAGAAUUGAAGACCUAUAGCUACACAAAAACUCAUGCACAAAUGUUCAUAGAGGCUUUAUUUCUAAUAGCAAAAAACCCAACCCAAAUGUCCAUCAACAAAUGAAUGGAUAAACGAAAUGUGUUAUAGCCAUACAAUGGAACAUUAUUCAACCACAGAAAGGAAGGUUCAGCGUGGAUGAACCUUCAAAACAUGCUAAGUGAAAGAAUCCAACCACAAAACAGCACAGCGUAUGAUUCCAUUUAUAUUAAAUGUUCAGAAUAGACAAAUCCGUAGAGACAGAAAUUAGGAUUCCACAGGCUUGGGGAAUUGGGGGAGGGGAGAGAUGGGUAGUGACUCAUGUGCUUGGGGUUCCUUUUCUGGAUGAAGAAAAUAUUUUGAAAUUGGAACUUAGAUAGUGGUCAUAGUUGCACAACUUUUGAAUAUCCUAAAAUCUACUGAAUUGUAUAUUUUAUCAUAUGUGAACUAAGUCUCAGUUUUGUUUUAAAGCAGGUGGGUGAUCUUAUGGUAAUACACCAGGGAAGCAGUGGUUUUAGGUCAAGGUUUGACCAAAUGCUGGGGAGUGGCUUUGUGGUUGCUAAUUUGGGAAAAUGCCUCAGCAGUCAGAAACGGCCUUGCUUCUCCUUUUGGUCAGAUCACCUUGCACGGCGUCUCUAAAGUCCCUAUGCUUUAAAUGCUUUCAAAGUCUGAGUUUCUUGUUGUUGCUAUUGUUGCUAAUGACAGAAGGAAAAAAAAAGCACAGGGUGACCUCUCUCUUCAAUAAGGUGAAGGUGACUUAGCUCUUUAAGGCAUGUGUGGACCCAUGGAAUAUGGGGGCUGAAGGCUAUAAAGGGAUUCAGGAAGGUGAAUGGAGAGCAUCAUGUGUCUGAGAUACCCAUUUUGUUUUCACAUCUCUCAAAUCAAAAUCUGUCCUCUCUAAGGUAUCUUACAAUAGCUGCUGCCGGGAGACAGGCUUGGCAUAGUCCUCAUUGCCUACCCAUGUGCAAACAUCAGAUGUGCCAGGGUCAAAACUUCCAGAAGGGACAACGGCAUCUUGAAAGAAAACCCCAGCAACAAUAAUUAAACAUUAUCUUAACCCUGAGAACCAAAUGUUGGCCAUUUGGAAGGUUCAAGAGGCACUUAAAAAUAGGCUAGCUCUACAUAACUUUUAAAAUUUGUAUUUGAGGGAGAGAGAGAGAGAGAGAGAGCACGCGUGUGAGCUGGGAAGAGGGGCAGAGGGAGAGAGAGAGGCUAAUUUUAAGCAGGCUCCAUGCUGAGCAUAGAGCCCAACGCGGGGCUGGGAUCAUGACCUGAGCUGAAACCAAGAGUUGGAUGUUCAACUAACUGAACCACCAAAGCGCCCCAUAAUUUUAAAGCCUGCUUAAGAGCCCAGACCAAUGGAUUUUAGUUAAUUUUUAAAAAAUAUUUUAUCAGAAAAAAAAAUUUAUUGGGGCGCCUGGAUGGCUCAGUCGGUUAAGCGUCUGACUUUGGCUCAGGUCAUGAUCUUGCGGUUGGUGAGUUGGAACCCUGCAUCAGGCUCUGUGCUGACAUCUCAGAGUCUGAAGCCUGCUUCGGAUUCUGUGUCUCCCUCUCUCUCUCCCCUCCCCACUCACACUCUGUCUCUCUCUCUGUCUCUCAAAAAUGAAUAAACGUUAAAAAAUUUUUUAAAAAUAUUUUACCAGAAGACAAAAUUACAUAGAAAAGCAUGGCUAACAUUGAGUCACAAAGUGAUGCAAGAGUAUCAAAAUGUAAAGAAGUUUCAGGAAUCCCUAGAUCAAUUUAUUAUGUAUAUAUAUGUAUAUGUAUAUACAUGUAUAUUAUAUAUAUAUAACAAUAUACAUAUAUAUGUAUGUACAUAUAUAUAAAUAAGUAUAUACAUAUAUAUUGUUUUAUUUGAGAGAGAGUGGGUGAGCAGGGAAGAGGGGCAGAGAGAGAGAGAAUCUUAAGCAGACUUCACACUCAGCACCGAGCCUGACGUCGGCCUCAAUUCCACGAUCCUGGGAUCAUGACCUGAGCGGAAAUCAAGAGUCAGACACUCAACUGACCAAGCCAUCCAGGUGCCCAUAUAAUAGGUGCUAGGAUAUAAAGUAACGGUGCAUUUUAUAAUUGUUGGUAUCUUAGGUUCAUUGAAAUGCAGGUAGCAAGGAUUUGAUGAGUCUAGGGGCCAUAAAGUAUUGGUCCCUACUUUGCUGGAGACCGAAAGACUGUGCCAAAGAAUAUUUUCAACAUUAAAAGAAAAAAAUGAAACACCUAAUGAUGACAAGUAAUACAGCACGAUGGACACUGGUAUACACUAAAAAAUUAAACUUGGGGCGCCUGGCUCGCUCAGUUGGUAAGCCAUGCAACUCUUGAUCGUGAGUUUGAGCCCCACAUUGGGUAUAGAGAUUACUGAAACAUAAAAUCCUUUGAAAAAAAUUAAUAAAUUAACCUUUGAUGAAAGAAUAUGAUAUGAAAGAAUUAAAAGGUAUGAAAGCAAACAGGGGCCUAACAAAAUUCCAACAAGCCAUCAAUACUAUAGAAUCUCCGAUGGGGAAAAUGUUACAAGUUGGAGCCCUCCGGAAGUAAUGGCGGUGAUUAAAUUUACAGCAACUCUCACAGUCAGGUGGUGUGCCUGGCAGUGGGUCUUGUUCCGCUCCACACCCAUCCUCCUCCACCCUGCCUUGUCCUGCUCUCUGAGUUGCUGAAAACCACAUCCUCCUUUGCCCACUGGCUCUCUGUGAGGCUCGGCCUGUAGGAGGCAUGAUGAGCUUACUUCUGGGAGUGGGAGAAAACUUGAAACUGCAACCAGAGGGAAGAACCAUUGCCCGGGUUAAGCAAACCGAAGGAAGAAGUCUCCAGCCUUAUUGAUUCCCUCUGGUGGGUUCUUUCUUCCAGGCUCCUGAGGUCUGGGUCCCAGCUCCUUGAGGUAAUGCCAGCCUCUUCCCUUCCUUCUGCAGACCUAGGUGUGGUGCUGCUUCCUGCCGUCACCCUAACUUGGUACUCCCCUCCUGCCUUUCUGAUCCUCUAAUACCUUUGUUACUAAUUAUUCCCUGUACUACACUCCCUCUGUUAAAGUUAUUGUUUACUUUUGUUUCUGUCUUCCUGAUUGGCCCCAGAUGGAUCUAGGCACACUGAUGAGAAUUGACUAAACCUACCAAUGCCUGCAUUUAUCUCAUCUAGUAUAUUUGUAUUGAUUUCACAUAUAUCCUAAAGGGUUAUCCUGCUUUAACCACCAGAAAUCUUUAAAAUUAGGGUUCUUUUUUAAAAAAAGUUUAUAAUGUUUAUUUAUUUUUUUGAGAGACAGAGAGAGAGAGUGGGGGAGGGGCAGAGAGAGAGGGAGUCACAGAAUCCAAAGCAGGCUCCACACCAUCAGUGCAAAGCCUGAUGUGGGGCUCAAACCCACAAACUGUGAGAUCAUGACCUGAGCCGAAGUCAGACGCUUAACAGACCGAGCCACCCAGGCGCCCCUGAAAUUAAGGUUCUUGUGGGCUAUUGUAGAAGGAGCACUAAAUAGAGCCUGUAAAUCUAAGUCCUAGCCCCAGUUCUGUCACUGGGUCCCAUACCCUUUCUUAGCCUCAGUGUAAUACUGUAAAGAGCUCUUUUUAAUUAUUGCUAAUUUUUACUAUAGCUGAGGUAUGCAGAGGAAUCAGAUGGGACAAUCAAUGGAUAUACAAAUUGCUUCAAAUUGCACAUAUGCCUUGUAAAAAUAAGGUACUGGUGUAAUUUAUGAAUUCUCUCAGCCAAACACACCAGUUGGGUUUUAGAUACUAACCUUGAACUUGUGUUAAAGAAGUAUUAGCUCUCUGAAUGCCUGCCUUUAGACCUGUUGCACAUGUGUUAAGCUUGAUUUGAACUCAGUGGAAUGAAAUGGUGGAUGUCAUCAGUGGUCCAAGUGCUGGCACCAGAAAUGCAGCCCACCCUGCCCACCCUGCGGGGGUGACAGCCGGACCUGACGGCGGGCGCUUGUGGGAGAUGCAGUGCAUACAUCAUUCGUUCACCCCCCUGCUGCCUUGGCCUCAGCCUCCACCUCCCUCCUCACCCACUCGGCGGCACUGGCCUCGUCGCUCCCUUAAGCACUGACCCACUUUGCGCACAGCGCCCAGCGCGGAGCGGGUGAACUUUGUCAGCAGGGAUCACUCUUACCCCAGAUAUUUCUGUGCCUCAUCACCUCACUUCAUUCCAGCCUCCCACAGUCAGAUAUUCCUGAAAAUUUCCUGUAAAAAAUGGCUGUGAAAUCCUACCCUGUCAUUCUUUCAUUUCAGCCUAUUUUAUCUCUCUUUGUGGCCCUUACCACAUUUGUUUAUUGAUUUAUCUUCUGCCUCCCUGGCCGGGAACAAAAGCGCCAUUAGGGUAAGGAGUUCAUCUGUUUUGGUUGCCAUUAUAUUUCCAGCACCCGACAGUGCCUGGCACCUAGUAGGCCCCUAAAAAAAUACUUGACAAAGUAACGUGUGAAUUUAACAGGCAGACACUAAAUGAUUCCCCGGUGUCAGAUCCCUGUCCUGUGUGAACUUGAAGCAGAAGUGUGUGCACAGACAGAACACAGACUUAGAAACUUUGAUGCUGGCGUUUUGCAAAAAGAUUUGUCCUACCCAACGUUUUCCCCUUGAGGGUUUGGUUUUUUAAGUCUGGGCGUUUUAGUCCUAGAAAGAGGACGAGAUUCUAAGUCAAAGAUGAGGUUUCAGAUCCAGUCUUUACCACUACUAGCCACACAUGACAAACCCCUCCAUCUCCCUGAACCUCAAUUUUCUCGUCCAUACAGUGGGGAUAAUACUCGCUCUGCUUCCCUCAGGCUUUAUUGUAAAGAUCAAAUAAAAAAUGCAUUUCUGUCCCCCCCACACUGUGUUGGGGUCUGGAUUCUUCUAGCAACUCAUCCCAGCCACUCUCCUGUCCUGCAAGUGGAGACGUUUGAUCUUUGUCUUCCUCUCCAAUCCUAAGAUCCAGAAGGCAGGGGUCCGCUACAUAGAGUUAACGCGACUUUGUCUCGCCAGUCUUCCCAACCAAAGAAAAUUCACGGGAAGACAAGGCAGCCUGUUCCCCAUCCUACUCAAAAUUGCUAAUACCUCAUUGCCUCAGCGACUUGAUCGCCAGCCUUGCAACAGAUAUCUCUCCCCUACACCUGUGAAGCUGAUGGAACAGGACAGAGAAAACAGAAUCCGACAGAAGAGAGAGAGGGUAGGCUUCUCUGUCACAAGGCCUAGGAUAAGGACAUUAUUGUCUAGAAGGAAAGACACGAUUGAAAGGUCCUGAAAACCGAGCUGGCUUCAUCUCAAACAACCGUAGUAGCCCGAAAAAGAACAAAGAAUCUCUUCCUUGCAUGGUAGUAAUGGCAGAAAGCAAAAUGAAUCUGUUCACAGAGCAUGCAGAUGAGAAUGUUGAUAGACCAUAGUAGAAUCUUUCUGAGGACCUACAGGGGAAAAGGGUCACUUGUAGCAACAGGAUCCAGAGCUGUGCCAAGGAAUCGUGUCACAGUGAUCUUAUUUCAGUGACCAUCUUCCCGGUUACUCAUUUUAGGGUCACUAUGGGGUGGGACUAUGGGAGGUGAGGCCGGAUUCUGGUGUUUUUUAUGAGCCGUCAUUUGCCUUUUUCCUUCCUUAGGUCUCUGUUUUCCCUACUUUCAUGUCCAUAAUUUGUAAAUCAUCUGUGUAGUUUUAAUGCCUCACUGAUUUUACAUAGCUUCCUUUUUCAUUGUGUUGAUUGGUACUAAAAGAGGCACUCAGCUUCCAAGCCCCGACAUCAAUGAUGAGAACGAGGUCCAGUAUCGAUAGUCUAAAGCAAAGACGCUCGUGGUUAAACAAAGUAUAAGUAGAACUCGGUGGUUUUCUUCUGAGUCUGUUUGGGGGAAUGCGUAACGAGGAAGAUUCAUUUCUUUUCUUUUUAAAACAAUUUUUUUAAUGUUUAUUUACUUUUGAGAGAGAGAGCAAGAGUACAAGCAGGGGAGGGGCAGAGAGAGAGGGAGACAGAGGAUCAGAAGCAGGCUCCGCACUGACAGCACAGAGCCUGAUGCGAGGCUCGAACUCACAAACUGUGAGAUCAUGACCUGAGCCAAAGUCGGAUGCUCAACCGACUGAGCCACCCAGCUCCCCUUUUUUCUAUUUUAAAAAGCUGACUUCUAGGGGCGCCUGGGUGGCUCAGUCGGUUAAGCGCCUGACUUCGGCUCAGGUCAUGAUCUCAUAGUUUGUGAGUUCGAACCUCGCGUCGGGCUCUGUGCUGACAGCUCGGAGCCUGGAGCCUGCUUCACAUUCUGUGUCUCCCUCUCUCUCUGCCCCUUCCCUGCUCAUGCUCUGCCUCUCUCUGUCUCAAAAAUAAAUAAACAUUAAAAAAAAUUUUUUUAAUAAAAAUAAAAAGCUGACUUCUAGAGAAGCAGAAGGCAAUUCUAAUGUGCUAUUUAAAUAUUCCAUGUAAACUCAAGAUGUGUUUCCAAAGAAAGAAGAACACGCCAGCAGCACAACAAACCAAAAAGAUCAAAGGAGACAACGAAAAAAGAAAAAUGCCAUCCCGGUGCUGUUGAUCUUGCCGCUUCAAGCUCCUCUUCAGUUUGAGAAGCACUAGUACGAAAGCUCAGGGGCCACGCACAUGGCGUCUCUUUCCCUGAUAUUGAUCCAUUUAUACCCAUUUAUUCCUUUGUUUCCUUUGGUGGGGGAGAUAAAUCCUGUGAGUAGCAAAGGAAUGGGUCACGUGUACAACAGUGGCUUCUUCCCAGACUCAUUAAGGACCAGGGUCACUGGCCCUCUUUGGGUUUCCUAGACUCGAGAAGAAGACAAGAACCAGGAUGGGAAAAUGGACGUGUUACAUUUUAAACUGGAGCUUCCUCUGCAGUCCACGGAACAUGUUCUUGGUGUGCAGCUCAUCUUGACUUUCUCCUACCGAUUGCACGUGAGUCCAUUCCUUGCGGCAGCCCGUCCCCUCCCUUUUGUCUUUUAAUAGAACGGAGCCCUCUCCCUGAUCUCUAGGAAAACUCACGCCGCACAAGGCUCUAUUAUGAGGUGUAGUUUGGGGUUUAAUUGAGGGAAAUCGAAUGCUUCUCAUUGGGGUCCUAUUAAUGUAGGUGAGCUGCUAAGACGCUCAGAGGGUUUUCUGGGCGGGGUGCUUCCUGCAUGGCUAACCCUGGUGUUUAAGGGACUAGUAGGCAGCAACCACAGACAGGGAUGCUGGGAACGCAGAGCCUUCCGAUGUGACUGAAAUGGCUAUCGUCUCUCCUUGUGAUGAUUUCAGAGGAUGUCGACAUUCGUGAUGCAGAGCAUGGCGUUUCUCCAGUCCUCCUUUGCUGUGCCAGGGUCCCAGCUCUAUGUGAACGGAGACCUGAGGCUGCAGCAGAAGCAUCCCCUAAGCUGCGGUGGCCUCGACGUUCGGUACAACGUAAGGGUGCUUUUUACUGUCCACCUCUUGUUUCUCUCUGUUACCGUUUCCCAAGUUCUUUGAAGAGGGAGGACAUGAAAGUUGGAAAUAGCAUUUUUCUGUGGGUGGCACAGAAGAGGAUUUCUGAGGAAUUCUUGCCAUGAAUUCUUUCAAAACAUAGAGACAGAUACACCUGUAUUUGUAUCUAAAAAGAGGGGGGGGGGGAUCUGUCUUUAAGAACUAAACUGCGUGUUGUUUUUGGGUGCCCGUGUGCACACACACGGCAUAUUCCAAGCGGUGUUUUGCAGUUCGUGUAAAACACUGGGGGAAUCGUACUAACCACCGUUUAUUAAGCACAUAACAUAUGCCAGCCCUGCGUUAAGAGGUUUAAAUAUAUCAUCUCAUUGAAUCAUGACAGCAGCCUCGUGAGACGCCUGCUCCUGUCAUUUCCCAGCUCUCCAGCCUCUUGUCCUAUCACGGUCCCCCUGGCUGCUUUCUAGCCACACGGGCCCUCUUGCUGUUCCUCAAGCCUGCAAAAGGAAGUUCCUGCCCCCCCCGCCCUGCCAGGUUAUGCACUUGGCCUUUCCCUCUGCCAAGUGUCCACACAGCCUGCUCUGCUACUGCAUUUGGGUCCCUGCUGGAAUAUCCCUGAGCACAGUCCUUCCCUGACACUCCUUUCUAAAGAGCAUUCUCCUCCCUGCCCACCACUCCACACCCAGAUUUCUUUUCUGUACUUCCACUGGAAAUAUCGAAGAUCUGUUUUCAGUUCUUUGCUAGCUGUUUUUCCCCAGUGGCAAAAGCACUGACAUCUUCUAUACUGUCACUCCAGUACCUUAAACAGGGCCUGGCACACUGAAAGCACUCAGACAGAUUUGUUGAAAGACUGAACUCGCCUUUCACACAUGAGGAAACUGGGGCGGAUAGAGACUAAUGAAUUUUCCCCAAAUACUGCCGCUUGUAAAUAACAGAACCAUGAACUGUCUCUCCGGGGCUGGAACUCAUGCAUAUGAUCGCUCAUGACUAACCUUUCUUUUACCACUGGGGGGCCACAUAAGUUGGGCUGCUCUACUUUUGAAAAUGAAAUUCAGUGUUAUCAGUUAUUACAGGCAUAAACCAGGACUAUUCCAGAUAAAUGUAUUUAUGGUCAGUUUAGCCAUAAUCAAUAUAAGUUAAAAAAAAAGAAAAGGAGGGGGACUAUAAGAUAUAAACCUUUUUUUUUUAAGCUUAUUUAUUUUGAGAGAGAGAGAGAGAGCAGGCAUGCACGAGCAGGGGAGGGGCAGAGAGAGAGAGGGAGAGAAUCCCAAGCACGCUCAGCAACGUCGGCUCAGCACAGAGCCCAACACGGUGCUGAAGACUGCAGCUGAGUCUGACACGCAACCGACUGAGCCACCCAGGCACCCCAAGAUAUAAACAUUUUAUAUGAAGGUUUAUAUAGUAGCAUAUGUCAACAGGAAUGUGAUAUUAGAAGGCAGGAGAUCGUUUCCUUCUUCAAAGGAUCAGAUGCUUAUUAUUUGUACUUUAUCCUAUUUCCAUUUCUACACUUAAAAGAGAUAAAUUACAGAGCAUUCAAGGAAGAGCAAGAAAAAGACAAAGAGGUUGAAAAUAUGGUCUCCUUAAAAAAUGUAAGGAAUUACUGCUCCCCUUGGAAUAGAGAGGGGUAUUUUAUAACUAGCUGUAAAACCUGUGAAAGGUGGAUAUUGACCCCUGUUUCUAUCCCUGCAGAAGGGAAGACUGAACAUAGAUGAUUUAAAUUAUUGGGGUGGCUCAGUCUGUUAAGCGGCCGACUUCAGCUCAGGUCAUGAUCUCGCAGUUCAUGAGUUCGAGCCCCGCAUCGGGCUCUGUCCUAACAGCUCAGAGCCUGGAGCCUGCUUCAGAUUCUGUGUCUCCCUCUCUCUCUCUGCCCCUCCCAUUCUCUCUCUCUCUCAAAAAUAAAUAAACAUUAGAAAAAAUUGUUGCACGGGAGGUCAUCCAUCCUUGAAGAAAGGGUUACUGAUGCCUGAGCAGGCCACCAUACACGACAGGCCAGUCUCAGCUGUGGGUGGGUGGGAGGAGAGAAGGAUGAGUGGAAAAGUGGCUGGGGGCUCACUCCACACCCUCCUGCCACAUCCCAGGUGUCUGUAAUCAACGGGACCAGCCCUUUUGCCCGUGACUAUGACCUCACCCACAUUGUUGCCGCUUACCAGGACAGGAAUGGUGAGUCAUGGGUACAAUGCAUUCAGCUGCUUCUCCAGGACCUUCCAGGUCAGUGGGAACAUUGGACAAAACCACAACUGGAGCUCUUGUCAUGAUAAAAAUGUCCAAGCCAGUGACUACUCAGUGAUGGGAGGGGGACAGGCUACCCAGGGUCUGUCCUUUUCCUCCUGAUCUAAAGACCCCACACCCCGCCCCUGCCACCGCUACUCUUAAUGUCCAGCAGGUAAGUGCUCAUUUAUGUCUCAUGUUUAUUGAUCACUAGCUUGAUGGAUUUCUUUUUUUCUGUAAAUGCCUAAUUGAGUUGCUCCCCCACCACACCUGUAAAAGGAGCCAAAGACAAAUUGCUAACCCUGGCUUUCAGCUAGAAGUAGGGAAUGUGACUGACUUACCCCCAAAUAAGCAGCUGAAGUAGAGCACGGGGCCCGGCGUUCUGGCUGGAACGCUGAGCGUGUCCAUCCCUCACAGAGGAAAGGCUCUCGGGCCAGUGUGUGUGCUUGACUCAGCACAUUGGUCUGGUUGGCCGUCUGAGGUUUCCUCUAAAGGCAUCUGAAGCAUUACGUGGCAGCCGGACAUCGUAGAUACCACCCACACACAUUUAUCAAGUUGUGAGGACCACAAUCCCAGUACUUCUUCCUGAAUUUUUGUAAUACACUGGUGGCAUUAUUCCCAAACCAGAGGAAUGUUAAAACAAAAACACUCAUCUACAACUUUUCUUUCUUUAUUCCUUCUAGUCUUUGUCCAUAUGCAGAUUUUUUUUAUACAGCUCUUAUCAUAGUUUAUAAAACAUUUUAGGAUCCAACUUUUUUUUUUUUUGUACUUCGUAAUGUAAAUAUUUCCCCGCGCUACUACAAAGUUUUAAUUGGUAUUAUUUUUAGUGGUAGCAUAGUAUUCCUUUGCUUAGCCAUUCAGCAGUGGAAGAACACACAGACGGUUCCAAGUUUGUAACAUAAAUAUUUUGACAAGUGUUUCAACAAAUAAUUUGUGAGCAGCUUUGCACAGUCAAUUCUCUUUCCUUCUGAGUCAUUUUUUUUGGGAAAAGUUCUGAUGUGCAGAAUUUGCAUGAGGGGUCAAAGAGUACUUUGAUAGUCCUUAUUAUUUUAUUGAGAGAGCAUUCAUGAAUUGAUUUAACUCCUGCUUGUGUUGCAGUAACCACCGUCCUGAUGGACUCCAACCCCAUCUGGCUGGUGGGAAGGGCCGCCGAGG